rnacentral:rRNA from 1 species
GACGAACGCUGGCGGCGUGCCUAAUACAUGCAAGUAGAACGCAGUUGCGAACGGGUGAGUAACGCGUAGGUAACUUCCUCAUAGCGGGGGAUAACUCUUGGAAACGAUAGCUAAUACCGAAUACUGUGAGAUUGACCUGCGUUGUCUUAGCUAGUUGGUGAGGUAAAGGCUCACCAAGGCGACGAUACAUAGCCGAACUGAGAGGGUGAGAGGCCCAACCUGGACUGAGACACGGCCCAGACUACCACGGGAGGCAGCAGGAGGGAAUCUUCCGCAAUGGAGGGAAGUCUGACCAAGCAAAGCCGCGUGAGUGAAGAAGGUUUUCGGAUCGUAAAGCUCUGUUGUUAGAGAAGCGGUACCUAACCAGAAAGGGACGGCUAACUACGUGCCAGCCGCCGCGGUAAUAC